rnacentral:misc_RNA from 1 species
UCGGUUUGUUACUGGUGGUCGGCUCACUUGCUUGUGCACAACUUCCACCUGACAUUCCUAUUCGUUCGUUCGUCAAGCUUUGAUUGCCUGACCAAAUUGUGGGUUUCUUGUGCUGCCUGCCUAACAAACGGUAUUGAUUUGGCAUAUCUAAGUUCUGUUCGUCUUUCGCCAUGCCUAUGCCGCUUAGAUGAACCCUAAACAUGUUUCUUUGAGCCACAUCAUUAAUGCUUGCGUUGAUGUACUGGCCUGUUGACGCUUUCUUGGUUUCUUUGAUGUAGUGCUUGAUGUGGGCAUGGGUCUGUUAGGAUCCUUGUUAUGUCCCUGAUUAGUGUUUACGCUUCUUAAAAUGACUGCUUGACACGUCUUGGCUUGUAAUAGCGUGUUGGGCUUUGUCUAAAAGGAAUGUUACCUGGU